ACCAUUGACAAACAUCUCAAACACCAUUACUAUAGCUGAUGAAAAUGGAUCGAAAAGGCUUGGUCCAAAUGUCGAUGCUAAGGAACGUAAGAGGCAAAGGGAAAGGGAAAGAUAUGCCGCGAUGACCGUUGAACAAAAAAACGAGAAAAGUAGAAAACGUCGUGAAGCAAGCCAACGAAAUAAAGGACCUCCUAUACAAACAGAGGGAUCUACAGUUAGUCUUUCAGAUGGCUGUAGCACAAUUGAUUUCACAAACUUUGCAACACAAGUUCCAAAUGUGAAUCGAGAUGAUGAUAGCGAUUGGUUGCAUAGGAAUGAGACAUUCAAGUCAGACGAUGUUU
rnacentral:misc_RNA from 1 species